UACGACCACAACACAUUGAAACACUGGUUCUCGUACAAUCACUGAAGUUAAGCAAUGUCAAGUACAGUCAGUACCUAGAUGGGUGACCGCACGGGAAUACCAGGUACUGUAAG